rnacentral:rRNA from 1 species
UACGUAGGGGGCAAGCGUUGUCCGGAUUUAUUGGGCGUAAAGCGCGUGUAGGUGGCCCUACAGGUCCGCUGUGAAAACUCCAGGCUCAACUUGGAGACGUCGGCGGAAACCGUAUGGCUAGAGUCCGGAAGAGGAGAGUGGAAUUCCUGGUGUAGCGGUGAAAUGCGCAGAUACAGAAGGAACACCGUGCCGAGGCGGAGCUCGUCGG